ACUCAAUAGAUACCCUGGUAGUCCUGGCUGUAAACGGUGUGCGCUAGGUGUGCGCGGAUUCGACCCCGUGCGUGCCGAAAGGUAACCCAUUAAGCGCACCGCCUGGGGAGUACGGUCGCAAGAUUAAAACUCAAAGAAAUUGACGGGGGCCCGCACAAGCGGUGGAGUAUGUGGCUUAAUUCGAUGCAACGCGAAGAACCUUACCUGGGCUUGACAUGCUAGUGGUAGGACCCUGAAAGGGGAACGAUCUCGCAAGAGAAGCUAGCACAGGUGCUGCAUGGCUGUCGUCAGCUCGUGUCGUGAGAUGUUGGGUUUAAGUCCCGCAACGAGCGCAACCCCUAUGAUUAGUUGCUUCUCGCACUCUAAUCAGACUGCCCUGUGAAACGGGGUAGGAAGGUGGGGAUGACGUCAAGUCAGGAUGGCCCUUAC
rnacentral:rRNA from 1 species